rnacentral:rRNA from 1 species
UACGGAGGGUGCAAGCGUUAUCCGGAUUUACUGGGUUUAAAGGGUGCGUAGGUGGGCAGGUAAGUCAGUGGUGAAAUCUCCGGGCUUAACUCGGAAACUGCCAUUGAUACUAUCUGUCUUGAAUACCGUGGAGGUUAGCGGAAUAUGUCAUGUAGCGGUGAAAUGCUUAGAUAUGACAUAGAACACCAAUUGCGAAGGCAGCUGGCUACACGAAUAUUGACACUGAUGCACGAAAGCGUGGGGAUCAAACAGG